CCAGGAAAUGCAGUACAGAGAACCUCAGACAAUUUGCUUUUGGAAAAGCGCUAAUCAACCACAUAUUCAUCUGGAAUGAAAAUGCCUCUCUAGCAAGACAUUGUGUGAUAAUGAAGUACAGGAGGUGAGAGCCGUCUCAGUGACUUUUAAUUAUUUCUCAUUCUUCUGUGUCUGAAGACGAUGCUGUUGUUCAUCAUUUCCUUCCCUAAUUUGUUCCAAGAUUAGCUGACUUGUCACAGUCAUUUCCUCGUGGUCCACCACCCUGCCAUGACGGUUGAAGUUCUGACCAAGCUACACCUCAGAGUGCACAGGAGAUUGGCUUGGAGCAGUCCAUGAAGUUCUGCUGAGUAUACUCGAUCUACUGGAAACUCUGAGAAAGAGGCGGCAGCUGGCCAGCAGACCAUCAAAGUGUCAAAAGGAACUCAGACCUUUCAGAGAUUGAGCUUUGCUUCUGAACUUUCCAAAGUUUAAAAAAACCCCAAAGUCUCUGAAGUUUUAACAUCACAAUUAUAAACAUUCAAGAAAAAAAAAACAUCAAUAAUAAAGGCGGAACAUGACAUUAAACCAGUUUACUAAACCUCUUGUGAGUCUUGCUUGUUUACAAAUGACAAUGAUCUUGUAUCACGUUCAUGUUCUGGACCUUUUAAAAAACAAAUAUGGCCAUUUCACUGGAGCACAAUGAAUCUGUGG
rnacentral:lncRNA from 10 species